AACGAACGCUGGCGGCAGGCCUAACACAUGCAAGUCGAGCGCCCUUUCGGGGGAGCGGCGGACGGGUGAGUAACGCGUGGGAAUAUGCCCUUCUCUACGGAAUAGCCUCGGGAAACUGAGAGUAAUACCGUAUACGCCCUGUGGGGGAAAGAUUUAUCGGGGAAGGAUUAGCCCGCGUUGGAUUAGGUAGUUGGUGGGGUAAUGGCCUACCAAGCCGACGAUCCAUAGCUGGUUUGAGAGGAUGAUCAGCCACACUGGGACUGAGACACGGCCCAGACUCCUACGGGAGGCAGCAGUGGGGAAUCUUAGAAAAUGGGGGCAACCCUGAUCUAGCCAUGCCGCGUGAGUGAUGAAGGCCUUAGGGUUGUAAAGCUCUUUCAGCUGGGAAGAUAAUGACGGUACCAGCAGAAGAAGCCCCGGCUAACUCCGUG
rnacentral:rRNA from 1 species